rnacentral:rRNA from 1 species
AGACCCGAAACCCGGUGAUCUAGCCAUGGGCAGGUUGAAGGUUGGGUAACACUAACUGGAGGACCGAACCGACUAAUGUUGAAAAAUUAGCGGAUGACCUGUGGCUGGGGGUGAAAGGCCAAUCAAACCGGGAGAUAGCUGGUUCUCCCCGAAAGCUAUUUAGGUAGCGCCUCGUGAAUUCAUCUCCGGGGGUAGAGCACUGUUUCGGCUAGGGGGCCAUCCCGGCUUACCAACCCGAUGCAAACUGCGAAUACCGGAGAAUGUUAUCACGGGAGACACACGGCGGGUGCUAACGUCCGUCGUGAAGAGGGAAACAACCCAGACCGCCAGCUAAGGUCCCAAAGUCAUGGUUAAGUGGGAAACGAUGUGGGAAGGCCCAGACAGCCAGGAUGUUGGCUUAGAAGCAGCCAUCAUUUAAAGAAAGCGUAAUAGCUCACUGGUCGAGUCGGCCUGCGCGGAAGAUGUAACGGGGCUAAACCAUGCACCGAAGCUGCGGCAGCGAACGUAUCACCCAAGA